rnacentral:lncRNA from 1 species
AGCUAAUCUGCUGCAUUGUUAUUCAACUUUCAUUGACAGUUUUAGUUUCGCUGAAAUCAUGUUUUCUUUUCUAUGCUUAUGUCUGUGGACGAACACUACUAGCUCCAGAAGGACCGACAUUACCAUCAAGUACGCCAUCGAGGUAAUUCACCAAUCCAUCAUCAACUAUGCUUUGCUCUCCUUAGUUUUGCUCUUUGCUGUAAAGCACAAAGAAAAUUGAAGCUAUGUAGAUUAAUUGAUCUGAAGAGGGUCAAAGAGGAUGUGACAAUAUGUUUACUGCCUUGUUAUCUUCUGCUUGAUCUGACACUAUUUAUGUCCAAACCUGGGAGUAUAUUUUUUGCUUGUCGUCAUCACCCAUUUGUUGGGUUGUAUAAGUGUAUCUGUUGUCUGAUUUGCUCCAUCAUAUUUCCUGAUGUACUUCUACAUAUAUAUGUUGGUUGUAAUCUGCUUGAAUGAUCCAAGUACUUGAUAUUCCAUUCUGUUCUUGUAGGUGAAUGGAGCUUGUGUUGUUGGUAGAACUCUGUUGAUGACUUCUUCCUAUGUUGAAGAGCAUGUUCUGUGGUAUCCAAGAGUAGCGGUUUAUUUGUAGAUCCCAAUAUUUAUGAUUGUGUGGAUCUGGGUGAAGUUUGAAGUUCCUGGGUAUGCAAGAUUCGAUGGUGAAACUGGUUGAUGUGAUGCGAAUGAGUGUAUGGAAAUUGGUUGUUGUGAUGUGAAUGAGUGUAUGGAGUUUCACGUGUUCUGUUCUGUAUAGCAUAUUGUAAUAAACUUAUUUUAGCUGUUAUUUGAAGAUUUUCAUAUGCUUUCUCUCUUCUAUCUGUUUGAUAUAUAUAUUGCUUAUUAAUAAGCUGUGAAAAACCUGGC